rnacentral:rRNA from 1 species
AUGGUUACUCGCGCACUCAAGAUGUUCGACGGAAUGCCUGACGGAUCGGAACGGCCCUGUGCAGAACGAGUCGGCGAUGAACGAGGAGGGGAUCUACGAGCGGCCGUGGCGGCCGCGCGCGACCAGCUCGCCGCCCACGCCGCCAGGCUCGAGAAGGAGUGCGGCCUCUAUGAGCGUGACCUGGAGCGCGCCAUGGAGUCCUGCGACGAGCUCGCCAGGGAGAGCGACGACCUGCGCAAGCGCCUGCGGGACGCCCCCGACGUUACCACACUGAACAAUGAAGUGGAAGCCCUGCAGAGGGACAAGGAGAUACUGAGGACCAAUCUAAACAAAGCAGAGGAGGAAACCCUACCGCCGCAGAAGCAGCCAUGUGUAUCGACCUCGUUGCCGGUGGGAGGAACAAGAGGACCAAGCGCGUCGCGCCCAAGUCCGACGAUGUCUACCUCAAGCUCCUCGUCAAGCUCUACCGUUUCCUGGCGAGGAGGACCAAAUCAAGUUCAACGUCGUCAUCCUCAAGAGGCUCUUCAUGAGCAAGACUAA